UUGUUACAAAUGUUGUUUAAUAAUUGAAUGUUUAUUUGAGUAUUUGUAUUUUAUCUUCUUAACAAUUGCCAAUAGUGACACCUACUGGUGAAAAUAUGUAGCAUUGUACGUAUGUAGGUCACGUGGUUUUGAUAAGCUGCAUUGAACAUUGGGAAAGCACGAGGUGAUCACACGAACGGAGAAGUGUAAGAUCAAAAGAAGUGUAUAGAUUAAUAAGAUUGUUUGUUAAGAAGAUUUCUAAUGUCUCCUGAAUCCUGAUUGGAAAGCACACGUUUUUCACGGUGCUCAGUUGAUGUUUGUGAUGACAAGGGGACAGACAUUAAAACUGAAAAUCUGAAUCUGAA